rnacentral:rRNA from 1 species
GACGAACGCUGGCGGCGUGCCUAAUACAUGCAAGUGGGACGCAAGGAAACACACUGUGCUUGCACACCGUGUUUUCUUGAGUCGCGAACGGGUGAGUAACGCGUAGGUAACCUGCCUAUUAGCGGGGGAUAACUAUUGGAAACGAUAGCUAAUACCGCAUAAUAUUAAUUAUUGCAUGAUAAUUGAUUGAAAGAUGCAAGCGCAUCACUAGUAGAUGGACCUGCGUUGUAUUAGCUAGUUGGUAAGGUAAGAGCUUACCAAGGCGACGAUACAUAGCCGACCUGAGAGGGUGAUCGGCCACACUGGGACUGAGACACGGCCCAGACUCCUACGGGAGGCAGCAGUAGGGAAUCUUCGGCAAUGGACGAAAGUCUGACCGAGCAACGCCGCGUGAGUGAAGAAGGUUUUCGGAUCGUAAGCUCUGUUGUAAGUCAAGAACGUGUGUGAGAGUGGAAAGUUACACAGUGACGGUAGCUACCAGAAAGG